CACGUAGGGUGCGAGCGUUGUCCGGAAUUAUUGGGCGUAAAGAGCUCGUAGGCGGUGUGUCGCGGUCGGCCGUGAAAACCUGCAGCUUAACUGUGGGCUUGCGGUCGAUACGGGCAUCACUGGAGUUCGGCAGGGGAGACUGGAAUUCCUGGUGUAGCGGUGAAAUGCGCAGAUAUCAGGAGGAACACCGGUGGCGAAGGCGGGGUCUCUGGGCCGGAUACUGACGCUGGAGGAGCGAAAGCCGUGGGGAGCGAACAGG
rnacentral:rRNA from 1 species